CAAUUUAAAGUUUAAAAAAAUAUUUCGUUUACAUUGAAAAGUUACUUGAUUAAUCAGGUUAAAUUGA
rnacentral:tRNA from 1 species